CUCAAUUAGUCCAGCAAAAUAAAGUGUAAAUAGCCGAAAUACUCGCCAAAAUCGCGAUUACUCGCGGUAAUCGUGUGUAAACAAAAGUUUUCGAUUGUUUAAUUUGAUUUCGAUGUUUAACAUUUUCAUUUUUGUUUGGAUACGGAAUUAUUUCGAAUCAUAAACUAAUGGAUUAGAAUUAUAUCGAUAAAAAUGGUAAUUUGGUACAAAACGAUCCAACUAUUCCAAUCCAAAAGGUCUUCAAUGUGAUGGAAAAAAGAUUUCACAUUUCAUUUUUCUUAUUACGAAGGAAAUCUUAUAAAUUCAAAUGGCACAUUUGUGCCGGAUAAUUAUGAAUUCCCGGUAUUUGAUGAUGACUUAAACGUAUUUUGCUGAAUCCGAAUUCGAUUGCCAGCUUUAAGAUAUUGAAUUCAAUUAUUCUUUCGAUUAUCAGAUCAAUCGUUAAACAUAUUUGCGGAACAAGU